UCCAAUGACUGGAGCCGGAACUGCCUCCAGCGGCCAGGGGCACUCGGUGACUGUCAAAUAGAAACACAGGAAUCCAAGGAAACACAAGAAGACUACACGCACAAACAGGGCCAGGGAACUACAUUCAUAUAUAGUUGCUGAUGAAUUGCAGCCUGACAUAAUUAACACAUUUACCUUCGGCCGAAUACUGUCUCAAAUUGGGUUUCCCGAGUGAAAACAGUUCAAGGAAAAUGUAGUUAUUGCACAGAAACAAAAGCAGCUCAUCGCCUGUUCCCCAAAGCUGACCGCCAGUCGGAUUGGCAGAUCCUGGCCGCCACGGGGUCCUGUAAUUUUCUAGACUUUGGCUUUCGCAAAGCCUUACGGUUAUGUGGAACAUUAAAGUGUGACGGCUAAAUAGUUACGUCACCACAAUGAAUAAAUGAAGCUCUUUCAUAAUUGAA